UGAGGAAUAUUGGUCAAUGGUCGGAAGACUGAACCAGCCAUGCCGCGUGAAGGUCAGUGCCCUAUGGGCGUUAAACUUCUUUUGUGUGAGAGCAAUAAGGACCUCGUGAGGUUCGAUGAGAGUAUCACACGAAUAAGCAUCGGCUAACUCCGUGCCAGCAGCCGCGGUAAUACGGGGGAUGCGAGCGUUAUCCGGAUUUAUUGGGUUUAAAGGGUGCGCAGGCGGCGCGCCAAGUCAGCGGUCAAAGUUCCGGGCUCAACCCGGUGUCGCCGUUGAAACUGGCGUGCUCGAGUGCGUGCGAGGAAGGCGGAAUGCGUUGUGUAGCGGUGAAAUGCAUAGAUAUGACGCAGAACUCCGAUUGCGAAGGCAGCUUUCCAGCGCGCUACUGACGCUGAGGCACGAAAGCGUGGGGAUCGAACAGGGAUUAGAUACCCUGGUAGU
rnacentral:rRNA from 1 species